GCGACGAUCUGUAGCUGGUCUGAGAGGAUGAUUCAGCCACACCGAAACUGAGACACGUUCCGGAUUCUUACGGGAGCCAGCAGUGGGGAAUUUUGCACAUUGGGGCCAACCCUGAUGCAGCCAUGCCGCGUGUGUGAAGAAGGCCUUCGGGUUGUAAAGCACUUUCCAGUUGUGAAGAAAGAUUUAGGUAGUUAAUACCCUUAGCCGGUGACGUUAACAACAGAAGAAGCACCGGCUAACUCCGUGCCAGCAGCCGCGGUAAUACGGAGGGUGCGAGCGUUAAUCGGAAUUACUGGGCGUAAAGCGCACGCAGGCGGUCUGUUAAGCUAGAUGUGAAAGCCCCGCGCUCAACGUGGGAGGGUCAUUUAGAACUGGCAGACUAGAGUCUUGGAGAGGGGAGUGGAAUUCCAGGUGUAGCGGUGAAAUGCGUAGAGAUCUGGAGGAACAUCAAUGGCGAAGGCAACUCCCUGGCCAAAGACUGACGCUCAUGUGCGAAAGUGUGGGUAGCGAACAGGAUUAGAUACCCUGGUAGUCCACACCGUAAACGCUGUCUACUAGCUGUUUGUGGAUUUAAUCCGUGAGUAGCGAAGCUAACGCGAUAAGUAGACCGCCUGGGGAGUACGGCCGCAAGGUUAAAACUCAAAUGAAUUGACGGGGGCCCGCACAAGCGGUGGAGCAUGUGGUUUAAUUCGAUGCAACGCGAAGAACCUUAARARDNWDCUARSBSACUNCUUURDGACCACNARGCCAAAGACUGACGCUCAUGUGCGAAAGUGUGGGUAGCGAACAGGAUUAGAUACCCUGGUAGUCCACACCGUAAACGCUGUCUACUAGCUGUUUGUGGAUUUAAUCCGUGAGUAGCGAAGCUAACGCGAUAAGUAGACCGCCUGGGGAGUACGGCCGCAAGGUUAAAACUCAAAUGAAUGACGGGGGCCCGCACAGCGGUGGAGCAUGUGGUUUAAUUCGAUGCAACGCGAAGAACCUUACCUACUCUUGACAUACUAGAAACUUUUCAGAGAUGAAUUGGUGCCUUCGGGAAUCUAGAUACAGGUGCUGCAUGGCUGUUGUCAGCUCGUGUCGUGAGAUGUUGGGUUAAGUCCCGCAACGAGCGCAACCCUUGUCCUUAGUUACCAGCAUUAAGUUGGGUACUUUAAGGAGACUGCCGGUGACAAACCGGAGGAAGGUGGGGACGACGUCAAGUCAUCAUGGCCCUUACGAGUAGGGCUACACACGUGCUACAAUGGCGAGUACAAAGGGAUGCAAACUGGUGACAGUAAGCGGACCCCUUAAAGCUUGUUGUAGUCCGGAUUGGAGUUUGCAACUUGACUCCAUGAAGUUGGAAUCGCUAGUAAUUGUAGGUCAGCAUACUACGGUGAAUACGUUCCCGGGCCUUGUACACACCGCCCGUCACCCCAUGGGAGUGGGAUGCAAAAGAAGUAGGUAGCUUAACCUUCGGGAUGGCGCUUACCACUUUGUGUUUCAUGACUGGGGUGAAGUCGUAACAAGGUAGCCGUAAUUGAAUUUCCCGCGGCCGCCAAAR
rnacentral:rRNA from 1 species